rnacentral:rRNA from 1 species
CUACGGGGCGCUGCAGUGGGGAAUAUUGCACAAUGGAGGAAACUCUGAUGCGGCAACGCCGCGUGGAGGAUGACACUUUUCGGAGCGUAAACUCCUUUUAUAUAGGAAGAAGAUGACGGUACUAUAUGAAUAAGCGCCGGCUAACUCCGUGCCAGCAGCCGCGGUAAUAAGGAGGGCGCAAGCGUUACUCGGAAUCACUGGGCGUAAAGAGCGUGUAGGCGGAUUAAAAAGUCAGAAGUGAAAUCCUAUAGCUUAACUAUAGAACUGCUUCUGAAACUCUUAAUCUAGAAUAUGGGAGAGGUAGAUGGAAUUUCUGGUGUAGGGGUAAAAUCCGUAGAGAUCAGAAGGAAUACCGAUUGCGAAGGCGAUCUACUAGAACAUUAUUGACGCUGAGACGCGAAAGCGUGGGGAGCAAACAGGAUUAGAUACCCCGGUAGUC